rnacentral:rRNA from 1 species
AUGCAGUCGAGCGAAGCUUUUCAGUAGUUUACUACAGAAAAUGACUGAGCGGCGAACGGGUGAGUAACGCGUGAGCAACCUACCUUAGUUACUGGGAUAGCCCGAGGAAACUCGGAUUAAUACCGGAUAUUCUUAUUUAAUCACAUGAUUUUUUAAGGAAAGGUCAGCCGAACUAAGAUGGGCUCGCGUUCUAUCAGCUAGUUGGUAGGGUAAUGGCCUACCAAGGCUACGACGGAUAGCUGGUCUGAGAGGACGAUCAGCCACACUGGGACUGAGACACGGCCCAGACUCCUACGGGAGGCUGCAGCAGGGAAUAUUGCGCAAUGAGCGAAAGCUUGACGCAGCGACACCGCGUGUGGGAUGACGGAUCUAGGUUUGUAAACCACUUUCAGGAGGGAAGAAAAUGACGGUACCUCCACAAGAAGCCCCGGCCAACUACGUGCCAGCAGCCGCGGUAAUACGUAGGGGGCGAGCGUUGUCCGGAUUUAUUGGGCGUAAAGAGCUCGUAGGCGGUUCAACAAGUCGGUCGUGAAAGUUCAGGGCUCAACCCUGAAAUGUCGAUCGAUACUGUUGUGACUAGGAUACGGUAGAGGUGAGUGGAAUUCCGAGUGUAGCGGUGAAAUGCGUAGAUAUUCGGAGGAACACCAAUUGCGAAGGCAGCUCACUGGGCCGCUAUCGACGCUGAGGAGCGAAAGCUAGGGGAGCAAACAGGAUUAGAUACCCUGGUAGUCCUAGCUGUAAACGAUGGAUACUAGACGUAGGAAUUGGAUUAACGAUUUCUGUGUCGUAGCUAACGCGUUAAGUAUCCCGCCUGGGGAGUACGGUCGCAAGACUAAAACUCAAAGGAAUUGACGGGACCCCGCAUAAGCGGCGGAGCAUGCGGCUUAAUUCGAUGAUACCCG